UGUAGGAUGGGGGGGCUGCAGGAGGCAGAGGAGACCCAGGCGGGCCGUGGUGGUGGGAGGCCGGGGGCGCCAACGGGAUUUCCCUGGAGAGGGGUCACAAUGAAAACCACAGCCCUCCUUGGCCUCCAGCGGAGCCUGGCCGCUGACAAAGGCUCGCACGCGGUGAGCUCAGCGCCCACGUGACGCAGGACCAGGCAGGAGGGUCCAGCCAGGGUCCAGCCGAGCUGCAGCUGGGGGGCCCCGCCCCAGCGCCCCCGCCCCAGCGCCCGGGGACUGCAAGAUAAAAUAGCGGGAGCAGGAGGCAGUUAUCACCCCCCCCCCUUUUCUCUACGUCAAAGACCUUGAAUUAUUUACUUGUCAUAACAAUACUUUUAGUAAUAAUCAUAUUUUUUAAUGACUUAUACUUUUCAGGACGGAUCUAUGGAAUCUAGUUAGCUGCGGAGGCCAGUUUUGCAUGCUGAAAGUCAUUUUUUAAGUGCAGGAGUUGUAAGACUAUAAAAAUAAAUUAAUUAACCACAAAAAAAAAUUACUAAUGCUGUUCAGGGAGAUUUAUUCUCAUUGAGUUGGAACAAAAGUAAGAUUCCAGCAGAGGUGUUUACCACCAGGGUGAAGGGUUGGGAUACUGAUGAAUUUGGUGUUGCACAAGGCAGAGGCAAGGAGGCUUGAGAGGUGAGUGAGACCACAGGAAGAGGGCAGGUAGGAAUCAGGAACCCUCCUGAGAGCUAGUACCAACCUCAGGUCAGUGAGGGGUUCCAGAUAGGUAGAAACCCCACUCACCCAGGUCCCUAUCACACAGGUGGCACCAGUGAGUGAGUGGGCUGCUUGCCCUUUAAGAACCUGUCUACAGCAAACAGAGAUUCCAGAGUCUGUACACCUGUCAGUCACUGUGAUGCCCCUUCUGGACAGGAUGCAACUAUCCCACUACUACUCUGCCUUUGGCUUUCAGAUGUGGACUGCAUAUGGCAUACUUUGGCUGUUGAUAAGUCCUGUGAUCAGGUAACCUGAGGCUCCAGGACAGAACCUGGCUGCAGAGGUCCACAGGGCAGCACGUUCCUCUCGCAACACUAUGUCUGGAGCCCUCCCUCUGCUCCAUGGUCUCUGCAGCUGACAGCAGUAGGACUCAGGGUAAGGGGAAGAAGCAGAGGGAGAGAGGGACAAAGUCCAAUGCAGGAUGGGAGCUCACGACUCUGAGAUCACAACCUGAGCGGAAACCAAGAGUCAGAGGCUCAACUGAGGCUCAACCAUGCCACCCAGUCAUCUCUGAAUUUUUUUGACAGUGCCAUCAAUUUUUUGGAGUUUAUUACAGUAAAAAUGCUUUUGUUUACCCAUAA